rnacentral:tRNA from 1 species
GGGCCAUUAGCUCAGCUGGUAGAGCACCUGACUUUUAAUCAGGGUGUCGAUGGUUCGAACCCAUCAUGGCUCA